rnacentral:rRNA from 1 species
UACGAAGGGGGCUAGCGUUGUUCGGAAUUACUGGGCGUAAAGCGCACGUAGGCGGGUCGUUAAGUCAGGGGUGAAAUCCCAGAGCUUAACUCUGGAACUGCCUUUGAUACUGGCGACCUAGAGUCCGGAAGAGGUUAGUGGAAUUCCCAGUGUAGAGGUGAAAUUCGUAGGUAUUGGGAAGAACACCAGUGGCGAAGGCGGCUAACUGGUCCGGUACUGACGCUGAGGUGCGAAAGCGUGGGGAGCAAACAGG